CCUACGGGUGGCAGCAGUGGGGAAUAUUGCACAAUGGGGGAAACCCUGAUGCAGCGACGCCGCGUGAGUGAAGAAGUACUUCGUUAUGUAAAGCUCUAUCAGCAGGGAAGAAAAUUACGGUACCUGAGUAAGAAGCCCCGGCUAACUACGUGCCAGCAGCCGCGGUAAUACGGAGGGGGCAAGCGUUAUCCGGAUUUACGGGGUGUAAAGGGAGCGUAGACGGCAGUGCAAGUCAGGAGUGAAAGGCGGGGGCUCAACCCCCGGACUGCUCUGGAAACUGUACGGCUGGAGUGCAGGAGAGGUUAGUGGAAUUCCAGGUGUAGGAGUGAAAUGCGUAGAUAUUAGGAGGAACAUCAGUGGCGAAGGCGGCUUACUGGACCGUAACUGACGUUGAGGCUCGAAAGCGUGGGGAGCAAACAGGAUUAGAUACCCUAGUAGUC
rnacentral:rRNA from 1 species